UAACAUUUGUUGUCUGCCUCCUCGGGGCUCAUCAGAAUUUGCUACUCGAGCCCAAAAAGUGAAGAAUGUUGUCGAUUUCAUUGACAGCAAGUGUCGAGAGCACUUUUCUCCAGGAGAAAAAAUUGCAAUGGAUGAGUCUACUGUCGGUUUCACGAGAAGAACUGCGUUCAAGUGCUAUAAUCCUCAGCAACCGACGAAGUGGGGCCUACAAGUCUACAUUCUGGCCGAUUCUGAAACAGGAUACAUUUCGAUGUUUGAGCAAUACUACGGGUCUCCUAUGACGGAGUCCUUGGUGCGCCCUGAACUUCCCUUUACAUCCCGAAUUGUCCUUCAUUUGUUUGUUAGACUACAGCAAGAUUGCUCGGCUCAGGGGAGGCACAUGUACCCUGACAGAUAUUAUACAAGCUUACAGCUUGUGGAGGAAUUGAAGAAAGAAAAAACUCAUUUAACUGGGACAAUAAAGGCAAACCGAAAAGGUUUACCGGUCGAGGUAAAGGGAAAAAAGCUGUCAAAACUCAAAAAGGGGCUACGUGAAGGCGUUCGAGAACGAAGUGGCAGUUAUUCUAGCGUGGAAAGACAAAAGGUUGGUUAUCAUGGAAUAUACUCAUCACAAAGAUGCUAUGCAAGAAGUCACCUGGAAAAAGCAGGGAGGUGGUGAAAAGGUGAUCCGGAAGCCAUCAAUGAUUUGUGACUACACGGCAAAUAUGGGAGCUGUAGACAGAGCCGAUCAGUACUGCGCAUCGUAACAUUUUACCAGAAAAUCCCUCAACUGGUGGAGGAAAAUUUUCUUCUGGUUAUUCGAGGUGGGGAUCAUCAAUGCUUACCUGCUAUAUGUCCUCAUAGGAAAGAAAAGAGGAGUGACACCAAAGAGACAUUUGCAGUUUUGGAAGAGUCUUGUCAAGGAGCUUGUGGGCGACCUCAGGGCUCAACCAACCCCAUUGAGGAAGAGGCCACACUCUGAGCAUGGUGACCUACACACCUAUCGCAAUAAUGGACACCGGAAAACAGGGUGACUAUGUCGUUUGUGGUGAUCAUUCCAAGCCAGGAGGGCGAAAACGGUCCCCAUUUUUUUGCGAAACUUGUCCGUCCAACCCUUCUCUUCAUGUGCCUGAGUGCUUC